CCAGAACCUGGAAGAGGCAGGAAGGACCCUCUUCUGAAGCCGCUGGAGGGGGCGCAGCCCUGAGACCUUGAUCUGACUUCUGACCUCCAGGAUGUGAGAGACUCUGCCUGCCUUGGAAACUGCUCCUAAGAGAAGAGAAUGGCUGCUGGCUACCUGCCCCCAUGGCCCCAGGAGAGCGGUGCUUCCUUCCUGGGCUGGGAGCGCGUCCUUGUGGCCUGAAGACCCCGCACCUCCCCCAUGGCGGGAAGAGCUGCGCCAUCCUCCU